rnacentral:rRNA from 1 species
GAUGAACGCUGGCGGCGUGCUUAACACAUGCAAGUCGAACGGUGAACGAGGGAGCUUGCUCCCUCCGGAUCAGUGGCGAACGGGUGAGUAACACGUGAGCAAUCUGCCCCGAACUCUGGGAUAAGCGCUGGAAACGGCGUCUAAUACCGGAUACGACGCGCGAAGGCAUCUUCUGCGCGUGGAAAGAAUUUCGGUUCGGGAUGAGCUCGCGGCCUAUCGGCUGGUUGGUGAGGUAACGGCUCACCAAGGCGACGACGGGUAGUCGGCCUGAGAGGGUGACCGGCCACACUGGGACUGGAACACGGCCCAGACUCCUACGGGAGGCAGCAGUGGGGAAUAUUGCACAAUGGGCGCAAGCCUGAUGCAGCAACGCCGCGUGAGGGACGACGGCCUUCGGGUUGUAAACCUCUUUUAGUAGGGAAGAAGCGAAAGUGACGGUACCUGCAGAAAAAGCACCGGCUAACUACGUGCCAGCCGCCGCCGUAACAC